rnacentral:rRNA from 1 species
UACGGAGGAUGCGAGCGUUAUCCGGAUUUAUUGGGUUUAAAGGGUGCGUAGGCGGACUCUUAAGUCAGCGGUGAAAGUUUGCGGCUCAACCGUAAAAUUGCCGGUGAAACUGGGCGCCUUGAGUGUAGAUGAAGUAGUCGGAAUUCGUGGUGUAGCGGUGAAAUGCAUAGAUAUCACGAGGAACUCCAAUUGCGAAGGCAGCUUACUAAACUACAACUGACGCUGAAGCACGAAAGCGUGGGUAUCAAACAGG